rnacentral:rRNA from 1 species
GGACGAAGGCCUCUGGGCUGUAAACCUCUUUUCUCAAGGAAGAAGAUAUGACGGUACUUGAGGAAUAAGCCACGGCUAAUUCCGUGCCAGCAGCCGCGGUAAUACGGGAGUGGCAAGCGUUAUCCGGAAUUAUUGGGCGUAAAGCGUCCGCAGGCGGCUUUUCAAGUCUGCUGUUAAAGCGUGGAGCUUAACUCCAUCAUGGCAGUGGAAACUGAAAGGCUUGAGUAUGGUAGGGGCAGAGGGAAUUCCCGGUGUAGCGGUGAAAUGCGUAGAUAUCGGGAAGAACACCAGUGGCGAAGGCGCUCUGCUGGGCCAUUACUGACGCUCAUGGACGAAAGCCAGGGGAGCGAAAGGGAUUAGAUACCCCUGUAGUCCUGGCCGUAAACGAUGAACACUAGGUGUCGGGGGAAUCGACCCCUUCGGUGUCGUAGCUAACGCGUUAAGUGUUCCGCCUGGGGAGUACGCACGCAAGUGUGAAACUCAAAGGAAUUGACGGGGGCCCGCACAAGCGGUGGAGUAUGUGGUUUAAUUCGAUGCAACGCGAAGAACCUUACCAGGGUUUGACAUCCUGCGAACCUCUUAGAAAUUUGAGGGUGCCUUCGGGAAUGCAGUGACAGGUGGUGCAUGGCUGUCGUCAGCUCGUGUCGUGAGAUGUUGGGUUAAGUCCCGCAACGAGCGCAACCCACGUUUUUAGUUGCCAGCAUUUAGUUGGGCACUCUAGAAAGACCGCCGGUGAUAAACCGGAGGAAGGUGUGGAUGACGUCAAGUCAUCAUGCCCCUUACACCCUGGGCUACACACGUACUACAAUGCUACGGACAAAGGGCAGCAAACUCGCGAGAGCUAGCAAAUCCCAUAAACCGUGGCUCAGUUCAGAUCGUAGGCUGCAACUCGCCUACGUGAAGUAGGAAUCGCUAGUAAUCGCAGGUCAGCAUACUGCGGUGAAUACGUUCCCGGGCCUUGUACACACCGCCCGUCACACCAUGGAAGUUGGCCAUGCCCGAAGUCGUUACUCCAACCCUUGUGGAGGAGGACGCCGAAGGUGGGGCUAAUGACUGGGGUGAAGUCGUAACAAGGUAGCCGUACCGGAAGG